rnacentral:tRNA from 1 species
GGAGAGAUGCCAGAGCGGUCGAAUGGGGCGGUCUCGAAAACCGUUGUCCGUUAUUCGACGGACCGAGGGUUCGAAUCCCUCUCUCUCCG